AUUGAACGCUGGCGGCAGGCCUAACACAUGCAAGUCGAGCGAGCGGCGGACGGGUGAGUACUGUACGGGGUUCUGCUCGAUAGAGGGGGAUAACUACUGGAAACGGUGGCUAAUACCGCAUACUGUCGGACGAACCCAUAUGGGAUUAGCUAGUAGGUAAGGUAAUGGCUUACCUAGGCGACGAUCCCUAGCUGGUCUGAGAGGAUGAUCAGCCACACUGGAACUGAGACACGGUCCAGACUCCUACGGGAGGCAGCAGUGGGGAAUAUUGCACAAUGGGCGCAAGCCUGAUGCAGCCAUGCCGCGUGUAUGAAGAAGGCCGUCGGAUUGUAAAGCACUUUCAGUCGGGAGGCGUUACCGACAGAAGAAGCACCGGCUAACUCCGUGCCAGCCGCCGCGGUAAUAC
rnacentral:rRNA from 1 species